CUACUUACCUGGUUCCGGGACUUCGUUGAUCACCGAGGACGGCCCCAAGGGUGGGGCGCGGGCAUUGCACUGCGCUCUCGUGGACCAUUGCCACUACUCUAAACUGGGGCAGAUGGGGCACGCAAAUUCC
rnacentral:snRNA from 1 species